CGAAAGCCUGACGGAGCAAUACCGCGUGAGGGAAGAAGGCUCUUGGGUCGUAAACCUCUUUUGUUUGGGAAGAAACCUGACGGUACCAAACGAAUAAGCAUCGGCUAACUCCGUGCCAGCAGCCGCGGUAAGACGGAGGAUGCAAGCGUUAUCCGGAAUUAUUGGGCGUAAAGCGUCCGUAGGUGGUUUUGUAAGUCCGUGGUUAAAGCGUGGAGCUUAACUCCAUAAAGGCCAUGGAAACUACAAGACUAGAGUGAAGUAGGGGUAGAGGGAAUUCCCAGUGUAGCGGUGAAAUGCGUAGAGAUUGGGAAGAACACCGGUGGCGAAGGCGCUCUACUGGACUUAUACUGACACUGAGGGACGAAAGCUAGGGGAGCG
rnacentral:rRNA from 1 species